rnacentral:rRNA from 1 species
UGAGGGAAUAUUGGGGUCAAUGGGGCGAGAGCCUGAACCAGCCAAGUAGCGUGCAGGAUGACGGCCCUAUGGGUUGUAAACUGCUUUUGUGCGGGAAUAACGUCAGCCACGCGUGACUGAGUGCAUGUACCGCAUGAAUAAGGACCGGCUAAUUCCGUGCCAGCAGCCGCGGUAAUACGGAAGGUCCGGGCGUUAUCCGGAUUUAUUGGGUUUAAAGGGAGCGUAGGCCGGAGAUUAAGCGUGUUGUAGAAAUGUAGUGGCUCAACCUCUGCACUGCAGCGCGAACUGGUCUUCUUGAGUACGCACAACGUGGGCGGAAUUCGUGGUGUAGCGGUGAAAUGCUUAGAUAUCACGAAGAACUCCGAUUGCGAAGGCAGCUCACGGGAGCGCAACUGACGCUGAAGCUCGAAAGUGCGGGGUAUCGAACAGGAUUAGAUACCCUGGUAGU